rnacentral:rRNA from 1 species
ACGGGGGCCCGGCACAAGCGGUGGAGGUAUGUGGUUAAUUCGAUGCAACGCGAAGAACUUACCUGGUCUUGACAUCCCGGAGACCCUUAGGAAACUAGGGGUGCUUCCAUCUGGAAGAAUCUGGAGACAGGUGCUGCAUGGCUGUCGUCAGCUCGUGUCGUGAGAUGUUGGGUUAAGUCCCGCAACGAGCGCAACCCUUGCCUUUAGUUGCCAGCAGUUCGGCUGGGCACUCUAAAGGGACUGACCGGUGUUAAACCGGAGGAAGGUGGGGAUGACGUCAAGUCCUCAUGGCCUUUAUGACCAGGGCUACACACGUACUACAAUGGCCGAUACAAAGGGCAGCGACACUGCGAGGUGAAGCCAAUCCCGUAAAAUCGGUCUCAGUCCGGAUUGGAGUCUGCAACUCGACUCCAUGAAGUUGGAAUCGCUAGUAAUCGUGGAUCAGCAUGCCACGGUGAAUACGUUCCCGGGCCUU